GACGAACGCUGGCGGCGUGCUUAACACAUGCAAGUCGAACGGAAAGGCCCUGCUUUUGUGGGGUGCUCGAGUGGCGAACGGGUGAGUAACACGUGAGUAACCUGCCCUUGACUUUGGGAUAACUUCAGGAAACUGGGGCUAAUACCGGAUAGGAGCUCCUGCUGCAUGGUGGGGGUUGGAAAGUUUCGGCGGUUGGGGAUGGACUCGCAGCUUAUCAGCUUGUUGGUGGGGUAGUGGCUUACCAAGGCUUUGACGGGUAGCCGGCCUGAGAGGGUGACCGGCCACAUUGGGACUGAGAUACGGCCCAGACUCCUACGGGAGGCAGCAGUGGGGAAUAUUGCACAAUGGGCGGACGCCUGAUGCAGCAACGCCGCGUGCGGGAUGACGGCCUUCGGGUUGUAACCCGCUUUCGCCUGUGACGAAGCGUGAGUGACGGUAAUGGGUAAAGAAGCACCGGCUAACUACGUG
rnacentral:rRNA from 1 species